rnacentral:tRNA from 1 species
GGAUUGUGGCUCAGCGGUAGAGCACUUACCUAGCACAUGUGAGGCCCUGGGUUCGAGCCUCAGCACCA